rnacentral:rRNA from 1 species
GAUAACGUAAUGUGAAUUGCAGAAUUCAGUGAAUCAUCGAAUCUUUGAACGCACCUUGCACCCUUUGGUAUUCCGAAGGUACACCUGUUUGAGUGUCGUG